CUCAAAGUUUUCAUUAAACCUGCUACUUGGAAUACCCCCCAGGUUGUUUCUGUAACCUGACAGUUGUUGUUGGAUAAAUAGAGUCAGGUCACCGGUAGCAGUCUUUACUUGACUGACGAUGCCAACGUUGCCAUAUUCCCUGGAGAACCAGGCUAUUUCAGCGCCAUUGACCUUGUUUAUAGGUCCCAUUAUGAGGUCCAUUGAGAGAGUGAAAUUCCCACCACCACCACUCCACCCAUCACUCCUACCUCAGGACCGGGACCAAGGGUUACAUUUUCAUCGCUGCCAUCAGCGUCAGCUGGCUCUGCUUUUGCCUGUAGUACCCCCAUGCCACUACUGUGAAGUCUUGGACAAGAGCAAUCAGCAUUGGUGAGGUACAGAAUGGAAAGCCAGUCACAGUAAGUGUUGUGACGGUACGUUUCACAGAAAUGGAGGCAAACGUACCGAGCAUCAUUGAAAAAGUGAUGCUGGGUCUGAAGACAACUGAGUCACUGGUGCUGACUGAUGCGGUCCGUGUACGUGAGUUUAAUUCCUUAUAUCAUUAUAACGGGAACACGCAUGAAUACGAAAAACGUCUGUGAGUCCGUUUUUUCGUUUUUUUGCAAAAAAGGAAAAACUGAUUUUGACUUGUUAUUUUGUUUUCUCGUUUUUUAAACACAAACCAUAAAACAACUUUAUAUUUGGAUUUUUCUCGCGUGGGUGGAGGUAAGUGUGAAAUGCCUGUCAUUGGCCGAAUGUGUCGUCAGCACUACCUGUUCCUUCAAAGUAAAAGUUUCCCUCAUCUAACUCGAUUAGCCUAAUAUGGGUUAUCUAUCAGUUACAUUUUAGGGUAUUCACGUUUAUAAACUUGCCAAUUAAUCUUUAUUGACUUGGGAGUUCGCCCUUCCAACUUCAUUCAAUGCAUCUACUUUUUUAGGGCCUACUGAUACCUACAGGCUAAAUAAACGAAUGUCAAAAUGCUGUAGGCUUAGUCGUGUUUUUCCAUAUAUAUUUGUAUUAGUAAUAUUAUAAGAUCACAUCAAUCAAUUUUAUUGUCCCCUUAGUGUGGUGGUGUUGCUGUAAAUUGUUAGCUAACUGAUCACACAACUGUAAAAAUAUAUACAUCAUGGCAAUUCUAAAUGUGCAGAGGAAAAUGGAAUGUGCAACUGAAAUGCAGGGAUAGCAGCAUGUGAGGUUCUUAUGCACUGAUGAUCCUGUGCACCCUGCUCAGACACAACUUGUGCAUGUGAGGUUCUUAUGCACUAAUGAUCCUGUGUACCCUGCUCAGACACAGUUUAUGCAUGCCGCUAGGCGCUUGACCUAGAGGCGGCAGGAGGAGGAGCAUGCACCCCUACUCAUCAAUGGAUCGGAAGUGGAGAAGGUCAGCUGCUUCAAG